rnacentral:rRNA from 1 species
GAUGAACGCUAGCGGCAGGCCUAACACAUGCAAGUCGAGGGGUAGAACACUUCGGUGUUUGAGACCGGCGCACGGGUGCGUAACGCGUAUGCAAUCUACCUUGUACAGGGGAAUAGCCCAGAGAAAUUUGGAUUAAUGCCCCAUAGUAUAUAACCUUCGCAUGUUGGUUAUAUUAAAGUUCCAACGGUACAGGAUAAGCAUGCGUCCCAUUAGUUAGUUGGUAAGGUAACGGCUUACCAAGACGAUGAUGGGUAGGGGUCCUGAGAGCAUGAUCAGCCACACGGGCACUGAGACACGGGCCCGACUCCUACGGGAGGCAGCAGUAAGGAAUAUUGGACAAUGGACGCAAGUCUGAUCCAGUCAUGCCGCGUGAAGGAUUAAGGUCCUCUGGAUUGUAAACUUCUUUUAUAAGGGACGAAAAAAGGUCUUUCUAGAUCGUCUGACGGUACCUUAUGAAUAAGCACCGGCUAACUCCGUGCCAGCAGCCGCCGUAAUAC